ensembl:lncRNA
ACCGUUGAAGAGCGAGCAGCUAAAUCUCGCGUCUCUUGUUGAAGUGGUUUUUAAAAGGAUUUAAAGCUUUCUUUGUUCUAUUUUAACCACUAGUUGAUACUAUUAUAAGUCAUUUACUUUUAGACAACCAAAGACUAUUUGUUUUUCUUGGCAAUGUUUCUUGAAAUCACGACAAUGAAAGGAAACUACCAGAAGGACAUCAAGACCGCGCCUGUUCACAAGAAAAAGUGGUCAAAACCGAAGAGGAGGACAUUUCUGCGCUCAAAUAUGGGCGAAAGGAGAAGAAGGGUCCGCGUCUGGUCGUCCACGAGACCGCAGCGGAGUCCGGACCAUGUCGACAGGACAGCUACGGGGAAUCAACGUCACCUAACAGUAGCCAUGGCACCAAGAAACACGACGCAAUAUUUAAUGGACCUGGUGUACGCUGAGCGAUUAGACGUUUCAAUGGAGGCAUGUGACAUCUUUGGACUUUCAGCAGCGAGACUUCGAGAGCGUGUUCUUCAGGAAUGAAAUCUGACGUGUUUUCCAAAACCUGACUCGAUUUCGUCGGAAUGAGGCGACCGGGCUGCUGUGUAACCAUAGACAGUAACAUCAUUGCGCAGACUCCAACUCGGGGAGGCGGAACGCUCUGCGUCACAGCUGCGCGAUGACGUGUACGCCCCGCCCUCAGCACGGCCACCAUCACGUGGCCAGCAGGUAAACCCGCUCCACCCUUUGUGUACGCGGUGUAAGAGCGUUGCAGUAACGUGCAGUCGCAGUGUAAUUGCUGAGGAGUGUGCAUGCAUUGUU